rnacentral:lncRNA from 1 species
UCAAUUUUCAGGAUGUCCUACCACUAUAAAAGAAUCCUACUAACUAAGGGAGUGUCCCAGCUGCAUGUGAAGAAAUGAAGGAAGAGGAUAAUAAUAGAGCACCUUUGACAAAGGUGUAUGGAGAACAAUAAUACAGUUGCAUGUGAGGACAUUGAAGAUAAAGAGCAAUAAUAGAAAAAGAUGCCCUUUGAAUAAAAAGUUGAAGCAACAUAUGAAGAUGUAGGCCGAAGGAGAAAAAUAAUAGAAAGGCAAGUGUGCCUUGCUGAUGUACUCAAUGAUGUAAUAGAGUCUCAUAAAUUUGUAUAAAUAGAGACAUUGUCAUAAGAUCAGAUCAUCCUUUCUUGAAAUCUCGAGUUGUAAGCAAUAGUUACUCAAAAAAAAAUCAUUCUCAGUUUGAAAAAUCAAUUUUUCUAGAAAUUUCUUUGUACCAAAUAGAAGUCGUGUAUAAAUUCUAAUAGAAAUAAAACUUCAAUAUUUCGAUACGAAUAUGAGUUUCUAAAUUUUUAUUCUCAUAGAUUCUUGAAAAAUCUGAUAAAAAAUUUCAUUCUUA